GGUUCAGGAUGAACGCUAGCGGCAGGCUUAACACAUGCAAGUCGAGGGGCAGCGGGUGUAGCAAUACAUGCCGGCGACCGGCGCAAGGGUGCGUAACGCGUGAGCAAUCUGCCCGUAUCAGGGGGAUAAGCGAUGGAAACGUCGUCUAAUACCGCAUAACAGGUUUGGGGGCAUCCCCGGGCCUUGAAAGUUUCGAUGGAUACGGAUGAGCUCGCGAGACAUUAGCUAGACGGCGGGUAACGGCCCACCGUGGCGACGAUGUCUAGGGGAACUGAGAGGUUGGUCCCCCACACUGGAACUGAGACACGGUCCAGACUCCUACGGGAGGCAGCAGUGAGGAAUAUUGGACAAUGGCCGGAAGGCUGAUCCAGCCAUGCCGCGUGCAGGAAUAAGGUCCCUAUGGAUUGUAAACUGCUUUUGAGAGGGAGCAAUAAGGAUGUCGAGACAUCCGAUGAGAGUACCUUUCGAAUAAGCAUCGGCUAACUCCGUGCCAGCAGCCGC
rnacentral:rRNA from 1 species